GCUCCGUUGGUGAACCAGCGGAGGGAUCAUUACCGAGUUUUCUACACCCAAACCCCUGCGAACUUAUACCUUUACCGUUGCUUCGGCGGGUUAACGCCCCGGAAAGGCCCCCGAAAGGGAGCCGCCCCGGAACCAGGCGCCCGCCGGGGGACCCAAACUCUUGUAUUUUCUUACCUAGCAUGUCUGAGUGGAAUCAUAAACAAAUGAAUCAAAACUUUCAACAACGGAUCUCUUGGUUCUG
rnacentral:misc_RNA from 1 species